rnacentral:lncRNA from 1 species
CACAAAAAGAAACCCAAAAAAACACAAUUUUAAGAACACAAAGAAAACCAGAAACUGGGUUUGUCUUAAAACAUAAAACAAAACAAAAAAAACGAAAGUAUUGCAUGUAUCAUUCAUAUUUCAUACAUACCCAAGUUAUGUUUUUUUGUUUUUUUGUUUCUUUAAAUCUCGAACAGAACAAAUAAAGAAGCUUUCAUUAGAAUAAAAAACUCAGAAUCAAAUAGCUUUUGUGUAGGGAGUAAUUGUGUUAGCUUGCAUUGAUGCUAUGGGAAGACCCCAUUAUAUAGUGUUUACAAUAGUGAAGCCAAGCCAACCUUUACUUAAGGCGCAAGUAACAAGCUUGCCAAGGCCAGGCCCAACCAGUCAAGCCCAUAGGCGUGCGCGUGAGCUUACAUACUCCUAACAUAUGCUCCCCUAAUCUGAGAAGACCCUAGUUUGGUUGUUGCAAAAGCUGUUACUUGCUUUACAAGUAAAACAGAAUUAGUUAGUGUGUAGGUUAGUUAGUUGAGUUAACAUGAGAUAGGAACAAAUCAAGGAAAAGUUGAUUUUGUUUUGGAUAAACACGUGUAUUGUUUGUUGGUGAUUCCUUUAUUAACGAAGCUUUUGCAUGAAGAUUCCUUUAUUAAGGUAACAAAUAAAGAAGCUUUUGCAUGAAGCUUUUACACGUGUAUGAGAUAGGAACAAAUAAAGAAGCUUUCAUUAGAAUAAAAAACUCAGAAUCAAAAAGCUUUUGCAUGAAGAUUCCUUUAUUAAAGUUUCAAGGAAAACCCUUUUAAGAGAAUGGUUUUUUUUUUUCUCCUUUCUUUUCCACAGCAUGUGGUACAAAUGGCAGAACAAGAAGAAGAAAUGGUCCAAAAUUGGUUUGUAGAAAUGAAGNN